ensembl:ncRNA C32A3.6 ncRNA
UUCUUGCUCCGUGGAGCAAGCUCUUCCUCAUAGAGCAGUCGCUUCCAAUUAGAAGCUCUCUCUCUCGAAGAGCUCUGUAUGAUAAACGUUGUUUGACGCACACAAAUGUGAAUUUCAGAAUUUCAAAUUCAUGACUGCUUCGUCACCAGUCACU